rnacentral:rRNA from 1 species
UACCCGCUGGAACUUAAGCAUAUCAAUAAGCGGAGGAAAAGAAACCAACAGGGAUUGCCUCAGUAACGGCGAGUGAAGCGGCAAGAGCUCAAAUUUGAAAGCUGGCCCCUUCGGGGUCCGCGUUGUAAUUUGCAGAGGAUGCUUCGGGUGCAGCCCCCGUCUAAGUGCCCUGGAACGGGCCGUCAUAGAGGGUGAGAAUCCCGUCUGGGACGGGGUGUCUGCGUCCGUGUGAAGCUCCUUCGACGAGUCGAGUUGUUUGGGAAUGCAGCUCUAAAUGGGUGGUAAAUUUCAUCUAAAGCUAAAUACUGGCCGGAGACCGAUAGCGCACAAGUAGAGUGAUCGAAAGAUGAAAAGCACUUUGAAAAGAGAGUUAAACAGCACGUGAAAUUGUUGAAAGGGAAGCGUUUGCGACCAGACUCGCCCGCGGGGUUCAGCCGGCAUUCGUGCCGGUGUACUUCCCCGUGGGCGGGCCAGCGUCGGUUUGGGCGGCCGGUCAAAGGCCCUCGGAAUGUAUCACCUCUCGGGGUGUCUUAUAGCCGAGGGUGCAAUGCGGCCUGCCUGGACCGAGGAACGCGCUUCGGCUCGGACGCUGGCGUAAUGGUCGUAAAUGACCCGUCUUGAACCCACGGACCAAUU